AAUCAUCACCCCUGCCCCAUAAACAUGAAAGAAAAGACAAGAGAAGCACCCCAGAAGAGAAGGGGAGAAGUGCUCCAGAAAAAAUCAUCGUCUCUGAAGUUUGCCCAGGUAGGCACAGGCCAACCAGCCUCUCCUCUGGUUGCCCAGCCAGCUACAGGCUGUCAUUUAACCUUCCGCCCAGCAUGCUUUUGAGUGUGCAGAAGUGCUGCAUGCCCAAACAUGCUGUGCACACAGAGCAGCUCUUUGUAUCCCACUCCUGGCCGAUCUCCUGCAUCAUCUCAUUGAGCUUCAUUGAACUCCACAGUCUGCAUGCUCUGUGGAACUCAGGGUCUUCAUUUUGCAUGGAACUCAGGGUCUUCAUUUUCCAUGGAACUCAAAGUCUUCUUGCUCUGUGGAACUUGGAGUCU
rnacentral:sRNA from 1 species